GUUCAGAAAUCAGAUGCUUGGGAGCAAUGCUUCUUUUUCUUUGCUGUUGUAUUGGAAAAGAACACUAGAGAAAAGAACCAGAGCAGAGAAAGAGGCCAUCAGCAGGUACCAUCUCAACCUACGUAGAAGCAUGUAGAGGACGCCAUGGUUCACAGAGUUAAUCAGGAAAAAAUAAAUGCUGUUAAUCCCCUUAAAUGGAUCUACAUUUUUACUUCUGCCUGGUGUCUUUUUGUGCCAUUGUGGAAAUCAAAAAUAUCGUAGAUUUUAAAGCAAAUUUGAGUCUCAUCCAUUCCGUGAAGUGUCGCAGAUCCUAGGUCUUUGAAGACUUCUCGUGUCUUAUAUUGAACUGAGCCAUCCCUCCAGUGACAUCAGCUAUGGAUCAAAACAUCUCUCAAAUGACCCUCUUGGACUCUGCUGCUCACUUGCAGAGGCAACUGCAUAUGGCAUUCCUCAAGAAGCUUUCAGAAUAACCUGAGCAUUUAAGCAUCUAAGUGGAAGGGAAUCUACGAAUUUUGGAGAUCUUUCUCUCUAACAUACAAUAUCUUAAACGCACUAUGAUGAGUUCAGGCGUUAUUCGCUGUAUCUGGAACAGCCCUAUCCAGUUUUCUCACUGCAGACAGUGAGCCUGUCUUCUCAUUAGAAUACAAGGGUACCCAUAUUUAUGUAUAUAACAGAAUCUUGAAGAAUGUUUGUUAAAAAUUUAGGUUCUUGGCAUGAACUCAAACCAAUAAUAUGAGAAUUCCAGCGUCCAGGAAUCUGCCUUUCAGCAAGCUCUCCAGAUUUUUCUGAUACAAUGAUUUCAUAACCACACAUUGAUAAUCUCCUAUCUGAAGAAUGCUCGGUGUGACUGAAAAGAUCCAUCCUUUUUCUAGUGCAUACACUGAAUGUGACCUGAAGCAGAAGCUAAUCAAAGUCCAGGAAACUGAGAUAAUCAGACAUUAAAAUUAGAACCUACCUGAUGAUGGAGGACCUAAGUCUGUCUCAUUGAGUCUCCUCCUUUAGACUGGAAGUCACUCACCGAGAGAAAAG